rnacentral:rRNA from 1 species
GUGGGGAAUAUUGGGCAAUGGGCGCAAGCCUGACCCAGCCAUGCCGCGUGAGUGAUGAAGGCCUUCGGGUCGUAAAGCUCUGUGGGAAGGGACGAAAAAAACCGACCUAAUACGUCGGGGCUUGACGGUACCUUCUUAGCAAGCACCGGCUAACUCCGUGCCAGCAGCCGCGGUAAUACGGAGGGUGCAAACGUUGCUCGGAAUCAUUGGGCGUAAAGCGCACGUAGGCGGUCGGCUAUGUCGGAUGUGAAAGCCUCGGGCUUAACCCGAGAAGGGCAUCCGAAACUGGCCGGCUUGAGUACGGAAGAGGGUCUCGGAAUUCCCGGUGUAGAGGUGAAAUUCGUAGAUAUCGGGAGGAACACCAGUGGCGAAGGCGGAGACCUGGGCCGAUACUGACGCUGAGGUGCGAAAGCGUGGGGAGCAAACAGGAUUAGAUACCCUUGUAGUCC